GGGUUGGUAGCUCAGUGGAUCAGAGCGUAUGGUUCCGGACCAUGAUGCCGGGGGUUCGAAUCCCUUCUAACCCA
rnacentral:tRNA from 1 species